rnacentral:lncRNA from 1 species
AUUUUUAUCUGCUGUGGCUAUUGAAUAAUUUGUCCUUAUUAUAAAUUUAAAUUUUUGAUAUAUUAGAUAGGUAGGAAUUUUAUAUAGUUUAGUAUACAUAAGUUGUGGCGUUAUGUAAUUUUUUUCAUUUAUUAAAAUAGAGCAUCUUUAGUCCAACUAAUAGAAUGGACUUAAAAAUUGACGGUGACUAACAAAUGCACUAUUACAACACAUGGCCAAAAUCGAUCGACCUAUUUAAUCACAUUUUU